rnacentral:rRNA from 1 species
UACGUAGGGCGCAAGCGUUGUCCGGAAUUAUUGGGCGUAAAGAGCUCGUAGGCGGCUUGUCACGUCGGAUGUGAAAGCCCGGGGCUUAACUCCGGGUCUGCAUUCGAUACGGGCUGGCUAGAGUGUGGUAGGGGAGAUCGGAAUUCCUGGUGUAGCGGUGAAAUGCGCAGAUAUCAGGAGGAACACCGGUGGCGAAGGCGGAUCUCUGGGCCACUACUGACGCUGAGAAGCGAAAGCAUGGGGAGCGAACAGG